rnacentral:tRNA from 1 species
UGCCGGAUCGUCUAAUGGUAGGACACCGCCCUUUGGAGGCGAUUAUCUAGGUUCGAAUCCUAGUCCGGCAA